rnacentral:rRNA from 1 species
GAAACUUGCCCCGAGAUGAGUUCUCCCUGACCCUUUAAGGGUCCUGAAGGAACGUUGAAGACGACGACGUUGAUAGGCCGGGUGUGUAAGCGCAGCGAUGCGUUGAGCUAACCGGUACUAAUGAACCGUGAGGCUUAACCUU